GACGAACGCUGGCGGCGUGCCUAAUACAUGCAAGUAGAACGCUGAAGAGAGGAGCUUGCUCUUCUUGGAUGAGUUGCGAAAGGGUGAGUAACGCGUAGGUAACCUGCCUUGUAGCGGGGGAUAACUAUUGGAAACGAUAGCUAAUACCGCAUAACAAUGGAUGACACGUGUCAUUUAUUUGAAAGGGGCAAUUGCUCCACUACAAGAUGGACCUGCGUUGUAUUAGCUAGUAGGUGAGGUAAUGGCUCACCUAGGCGACGAUACAUAGCCGACCUGAGAGGGUGAUCGGCCACACUGGGACUGAGACACGGCCCAGACUCCUACGGGAGGCAGCAGUAGGGAAUCUUCGGCAAUGGGGGCAACCCUGACCGAGCAACGCCGCGUGAGUGAAGAAGGUUGUCGGAUCGUAAAGCUCUGUUGUAAGUCAAGAACGGGUGUGAGAGUGGAAAGUUCACACUGUGACGGUAGCUUACCAGAAAGGGACGGCUAACUACGUG
rnacentral:rRNA from 1 species